rnacentral:tRNA from 1 species
GGAGAGAUGACCGAGAGGCCGAAGGUAGCGGUUUGCUAAAUCGCCGUAUGGUUUGCCAUACCGAGGGUUCGAAUCCCUCUCUCUCCG